AACGUAGGAGGCAAGCGUUAUCCGGAGUGACUGGGCGUAAAGAGCGUGUAGGCGGUUGAGUAAGUUGCGUGUGAAAGCGCCCGGCUAAACUGGGCGAGGACAGGCAAGACUGCUGAGCUAGCGGCCGAUAGAGGGGUGCGGAAUUCCGGGUUUAGCGGUGAAAUGUGUAGAGAACCGGAGGAACACCAGUGGUGCAGACGACGCCCUGGAUCGGACCUGACGCUGAGACGCGAAAGCGUGGGGAGCGAACGGG
rnacentral:rRNA from 1 species